rnacentral:rRNA from 1 species
GAUGAACGCUGGCGGCGUGCCUAAUACAUGCAAGUAGAACGCUGAAGCUUGGUGCUUGCACCGAGCGGAUGAGUUGCGAACGGGUGAGUAACGCGUAGGUAACCUGCCUCUUAGCGGGGGAUAACUAUUGGAAACGAUAGCUAAUACCGCAUAAAAGUCGAUAUCGCAUGAUAUUGAUUUGAAAGGUGCAAAUGCAUCACUAAUAGAUGGACCUGCGUUGUAUUAGCUAGUUGGUGAGGUAACGGCUCACCAAGGCGACGAUACAUAGCCGACCUGAGAGGGUGAUCGACCAAACUGGGACUGAGACACGGCCCAGACUCCUACAGGAGGCAGCAGUAGGGAAUCUUCGGCAAUGGGGGCAACCCUGACAGAGCAACGCCGCGUGAGUGAAGAAGGUUAUCGGAUCGUAAAGCUCUGUUGUAAGAGAAGAACGAGGGUGAGAGUGGAAAGUUCACACUGUGACGGUAACUUACCAGAAAGAGACGGCUAACUACGUG